UGCCCGCCCUGUGCGCCCCGGCGCGCUGCGGGUCUGUGCCGGGAGAGGCCUGAGAGCGGCGUCCCGGGCGGUGGGAGCCCAGCCUGUCGCGUCUGGUGAGGCGGGGCGGAGUCCCCAACAGGUGAGGAGUACAGAAGAGGAAACCAUCAUCUUGUCCGGGAGGGGCUCUCAGCAGAGGCCUGUCCUCUGCCCCAAGUGAGGAGUACAGAAGAGGAAACCAUCAUCUUGUCCUGGAGUGGCUCUCAGCAGAGGAAAAGGUUAAUCUCACUGACGUGAGGAAGAUCAGGAACCUUCAAAAGGUGGAAACAAGCCAGGCGACCACCAACAGGCCAAACCUCUUACCAAUUCUGUUGUUUCUAUGGUCCCACCAUGUUGCUCCGGGACACUUACUGAGAGGAGUGACAGUAGCUUAGGGAUCAUGGCAGCAUGUCACUGUCAGCCUCUCCAGCACCUUUCUUGGGUUGUGCCGUCUGCAGUUCCUUCUUCCACACCGCGUUCUGAAAACGUUGGUGCUGCUGAUUGCAACAUACUCCUUACGCACUGAGCGUCAAAGACUUGGCUCACAGAAAGUCCUCAUCUGUCUCAGAUUUCUGGCAUCAAGCAUGUGGACCCCCGCCCCCUCCAAAUGCCUGAGGCUUGAGCCUGAAGGGUUCCUCCGAGGAGAUGAAGGUUAGAAGCAAGUUUCCAAAACCAGGGGAGGGGAUUACACGGAGGCACAAAUACCAGGAGUGAGAAUAAUUGGCGGUCACAAGCCACAAUGAAGGCUCGCUCAAGCCCACAAACUUGUGUAAGGUCAUGGCGGCAGUUUUGUGGAGAGAAGGGAGUGGGAGCAGAAGAGUGGCAGUCAAGAAAGGCACUGAGCGCUUGUCAGGAAGGAAGCAGGAAGUGGGACAACCCCUCUGGAAAACUGCUGACAGGUGUCUAAUGAAAUGAAGCAUACACCUGUUCUUUGACCCAGCCGUCCCACUAUUUAUAAUCCAGGGGAAGACCUGCAUAUGUGCCUGUCAUAGACAGGCUUAUGUCAAAGACAUAGCCAAGAGUAUUCGUGCAACCUGACCCAUAGAAGCCUCAGCCUGGAGACAACCCAAGUGUCCUUCCACUGGAGAAUGGAUCAACAGAUUGUGGCAUGAACGUGCAACGGAGUAAUACUGAGCAGUAAAAAGGGAAGAAGGUACCAAUGUGAGUAAUAUCUGGGAUAAACCUCAGAAACAACAUCUUCGCAUGGAAGCAGCCCACACAGAAGAAUUCACGUGGUGUACUGCGUGUAUAUGGGUCCCUCACUCAUGCUGAUCAAGCCAGCUGCUGGGUUAUGAUCUGUCCUAUGGAAAGGCCCACAUGGUCAGGGUGGUCUCUGGCCAGCAGCCAGCAAGGAACUGAAUCCUGCCAGCCACCACCUGAGUGAGUGAGUGUGGAAACAAAUCCAAGCCUGAACCAGCCCUGGCCAAGCCCUUCAUGCCAGCCUGUGAGACCAGUAUGAAGAAGGUUCCAAGGAGGAAGAGAAAGAUGAAGAUGACAAUGAGGGUGAUCCCAGUGGUCCCUGGGGAGAGAUGCAGAAGCUGAACGUCAGAGGGUUGAAGUACUAUUUCCAAAGUGGCCCAGCUACCGAGGUGGCAGAGCUGUGCCUCUGAUCCUCCCCACCUCGGAAGACCUUGUACUGAGCCACAGCCUUCAGGCAUCACCAACAGAUAGACAGACAUCCUCGAGAAUUUUCCCAGGGGUGGAUAACUCAUGGCUGCACAAGGACGUCUCAUCCCACGGGUGAAUGACUGUAUGUCCCAGGAAGCUCGACUCUCUUACCUAGCUCUGUUUCUGCCAUCUUGGGAGACUUCCUUUCAGUUUUACCU